rnacentral:rRNA from 1 species
GAUGAACGCUAGCGACAGGCUUAACACAUGCAAGUCGAGGGGCGAGCGGGGUGGUAGCAAUACACCGCCGGCGACCGGCGCACGGGUGAGUAACGCGUAUGCAACUUGCCUAUCAGAGGGGGAUAACCCGGCGAAAGUCGGACUAAUACCGCAUGGAGCAGGGGUCCCGCAUGGGGAUACUUUGCUAAAGAUUCAUCGCUGAUAGAUAGGCAUGCGUUCCGUUAGGCAGUUGGCGGGGUAACGGCCCACCAAACCGACGAUGGAUAGGGGGUUCUGAGAGGAAGGUCCCCCCACAUUGGGUACUGUGACACGGACCAGACUCCUACGGGAGGCAGCAGUGAGGAAUUAUUGGUCAAUGGGGCUAAGCCUGAACCAGCCAAGUCGCGUGAGGGAUGAAGGUUCUAU